AAUUCUAUCAAAACAUACACUUGAGUGUGUUUUGGAUUGUGGGAGUGUCUGCUGGGUUUCUGAGCCAGCUCUCCUGAAAGAUAUUAGCUGGGGGGAUGUGCCUCGUCACUUCUGCUUUUUCAUUGGUGUGAUAGAUGAAUAAACUUAUCUACGCCAGGAAAGCAGGUUGCAGGUGUGAAGCACUGUGAUCUCUCUGCUCUCUAAUUGACAUUUGUCUGAUA
rnacentral:misc_RNA from 1 species